CCUACGGGUGGCAGCAGUGAGGAAUAUUGGUCAAUGGACGAGAGUCUGAACCAGCCAAGUAGCGUGAAGGAUGACUGCCCUAUGGGUUGUAAACUUCUUUUAUAAAGGAAUAAAACGAGGCACGUGUGCCUUUUUGCAUGUACUUUAUGAAUACGGAUCGGCUAACUCCGUGCCAGCCGCCGCGGUAAUACGGAGGAUCCGAGCGUUAUCCGGAUUUAUUGGGUUUAACGGGAGCGUAGAUGGGUUGUUAAGUCAGUUGUGAAAGUUUGCGGCUCAACCGUAGAGUUGCAAUUGAUACUGGCAGUCUUGAGUACAGUAGAGGUAGGCGGAAUUCGAGGUGUAGCGGUGAAAUGCUUAGAUAUAACGAAGAACCCCGAUUGCGAAGGCAGCUUACUAAACUGUGACUGACAUUGAUGCUCGAAAGUGUGGGGAUCAAACAGGAUUAGAUACCCGAGUAGUC
rnacentral:rRNA from 1 species